rnacentral:rRNA from 1 species
GAAGGUCUUCGGAUCGUAAAGCUCUGUUGCCAGGGAAGAAGGGCAAGGAGAGUGACUGCUCUUUGCUUGACGGUACCUGAGAAGAAAGCCCCGGCUAACUACGUGCCAGCAGCCGCGGUAAUACGUAGGGGGCGAGCGUUGUCCGGAAUUAUUGGG